rnacentral:rRNA from 1 species
GAUGAACGCUGGCGGCGUGCCUAAUACAUGCAAGUCGAGCGAACAGACGAGGAGCUUGCUCCUUUGACGUUAGCGGCGGACGGGUGAGUAACACGUAGGUAACCUACCUAUAAGACUGGGAUAACUUCGGGAAACCGGAGCUAAUACCGGAUAAUAUUUCGAACCGCAUGGUUCGAUAGUGAAAGAUGGCUUUGCUAUCACUUAUAGAUGGACCUGCGCCGUAUUAGCUAGUUGGUAAGGUAACGGCUUACCAAGGCAACGAUACGUAGCCGACCUGAGAGGGUGAUCGGCCACACUGGAACUGAGACACGGUCCAGACUCCUACGGGAGGCAGCAGUAGGGAAUCUUCCGCAAUGGGCGAAAGCCUGACGUAGCAACGCCGCGUGAGUGAUGAAGGUCUUCGGAUCGUAAAACUCUGUUAUUAGGGAAGAACAAACGUGUAAGUAACUGUGCACGUCUUGACGGUACCUAAUCAGAAAGCCACGGCUAACUACGUG